GCCUUCGUGGUGUAGUGGUGAGCACACUUAAUGCGUAACCGAGAGGUCCGUGGUUCGAUUCUCGGCGAAAGCG
rnacentral:tRNA from 1 species